AGGACGAACGCUGGCGGCGUGCUUAACACAUGCAAGUCGAACGGAGUCCAUCCGGUGGCGACACCGGUGAAGGCUCAGUGGCGAACGGGUGCGGAACACGUGAGCAACCUGCCCCAAAGACCGGGAUAACACCGGGAAACUGGUGCUAAUACCGGAUACCCCCACGAGCUCGCAUGGGCUCAUGAGGAAAGGGUUUCCGCUUUGGGAGGGGCUCGCGGCCUAUCAGCUUGUUGGUGAGGUAACGGCUUACCAAGGCGACGACGGGUAGCUGGUCUGAGAGGACGAUCAGCCACACUGGGACUGAGACACGGCCCAGACUCCUACGGGAGGCAGCAGUGGGGAAUCUUGCGCAAUGGGCGAAAGCCUGACGCAGCAACGCCGCGUGGGGGAUGAAGGCCCUCGGGUUGUAAACCCCUUUCAGUGGGAACGAAAUUGACGGUACCACAGAAGAAGCCCGGCCAACUACGCGCCAGCAGCCGC
rnacentral:rRNA from 1 species